rnacentral:pre_miRNA from 1 species
AUAACAUUCGGACCGCUAGUUUAUAGAGCAAUAUCACCUGCUCGGUGGAAGAUUAUCCUUUUGUCGU